rnacentral:rRNA from 1 species
UACGUAGGGACCAAGCGUUGUUCGGAUUUACUGGGCGUAAAGGGCGCGUAGGCGGCAAUUCAAGUCAGCUGUGAAAUCUCCGGGCUUAACUCGGAAAGGUCAAGUGAUACUGUCGGGCUAGAGUGCAGAAGGGGGCAACUGGAAUUCUCGGUGUAGCGGUGAAAUGCGUAGAUAUCGAGAGGAACACCUAUGGCGAAGGCAGCUCGCUGGGACGUUACUGACGCUGAGACGCGAAAGCGUGGGGAGCAAACAGG